rnacentral:rRNA from 1 species
CGCGUAAAGAACUUGCCUCACAGAUAGGGACAACAUUUGGAAACGAAUGCUAAUACCUGAUAUUAUGAUUUUAGGGCAUCCUAGAAUUAUGAAAGCUAUAUGCGCUGUGAGAGAGCUUUGCGUCCCAUUAGCUAGUUGGAGAGGCAACGGCUCACCAAGGCGAUGAUGGGUAGCCGGCCUGAGAGGGUGAUCGGCCACAAGGGGACUGAGACACGGCCCUU